GCCCGCCCCCAUCGCCAGAUGACGCGAGAAGGGGCAGUCCUAGAAACGAGAUGGGACUACUACGCACGCGUGACUCGCAGGCUGGGAAGAUGCAGAAUAGAUUGGAGUUUGGUUAAACGUCUGGCUUCUCCGAGAGCCACAAGAAUGAACACCCAGAGUCAUCCACUCCUCACUUGAUACAACAGAUGUUUUCUUGAGUUUUGUUGGAAGUGUUAAGUAAACUAGGAGAAUUUUCAAGAAAGGAAUCUAUUAAGACUUUAAGAAUCAUCCCCUAAAUGCAAGCACCAUUUGGAUAUCAUCCAACCAUCAUCCUCAGUCACAUGAAAUUUAUCGACUUCUAGAACUCAAGCAGUGGAAGGUUGUUGUACCUAGUAUUCAACUCAUUGCCUGUAGAUUGCCUUAGCAAAUGGUUUCUAGGGUCUUUAUGAUGAAAGUUCUCCUCUCCUGCCCUAAUUGAUUCAUUUCAGUGAGUAAGGAUUGUCACAUGUGUCUGUAACCAUAUUUGCUUCAAGAGAAGGGUAUCCUAAUCAUUCAGUCAAGUUCUGGAGCCUUUAUUAUGAUGCUUCCUACUAGACCUUGAGAAGUAAAGGUUAAGAAUAACUUUUGUCCUCUUGAGAAGAGCACUAAUUUUGGAAUUUAGAUCUCAUCAACACUCAUCAGCAAACAGAUUUUGAGAUUUUGACCUGUAAUCUCUUUGACCUUGAAAUGAGUGUCCUUAUUUGUAAAAUAAGGCUAAGAUUUUUACCAUUUAUUACAUAUAUCUCCUUGGUUAUGUUAAGCUCACCUAAUGAAUACUAUGCUAUUGAUUGCCUACAUGGGGACUUUGUACCUAGUAAAAGUCUGAGACACUUA